rnacentral:lncRNA from 1 species
CUCCAAUGUGGACAGUAGCCUCUGGCAAAAGAGCAAAGGCUAUAUUUGAGGGCAAUAACUUCUUUGUUAUUUCACUGUGAAUCACCAAUGGUCAAAUGAAGGCACCCUUUGAUGGCUCUUGAAGUCUGAAGAAUCUUUGAGGAAAGCAUCUUCUUCAACACAUGCUAUGUUCUUCUUCCAGACAACACAGAUGAAAGCCAAACUUUUUUACGGCACAACUGUAUUCUAUCAGAAUUCAGAAGCCUGAAGGACAUCUCCACAAAAAACCUGUAGUCUACACACUUGGAAAAAUCAUCAGUCUUUCUCUUCAUCUGUAUGCAGUGGAAAUCUAGACUGAGCCACUCAGAUUACGUCCGUUACAGCAGGGU